UGUUCUGCUUAGCUGUAGAUGCUUCUCAAAUUUCCUCUUUGGUGAAACAGGCAUUUGUGCAGGUUCCCCAUAAAAAUGACUGAUUUGGGUUUUACCAGGAGCUCUGGCACUUCUCCACUACAAGAAAGAAUUGCAUUUAUGGAGAGGUUUAUCAAGAUGGGAAUAGUGAAACAAGCAUUUUAAAUGUCCAGCAGAACCCUCUGUCUUCCCCCAAACAAGCGUCCCUGGGCAGGAAUUUCAGCCAUUCUGGAAUGAGAGCCUCCUGAAAGGAAUCUGUUUCCCUGUGGGACUGCCCAGAUUUCAGCCCUGCUUCUGGGGGAAGCUCUCGACUGUUUGCUGACUUUCACUCUUUUUUUUGUGGCUGCACACUCAGGGGCUCUCCUUACUAACACAGAAAAUCGAAUAAUGGCUCAGUGCUCACCACAGGACACCUCAUGUGUCUGCUCUGGUUUGGAGCCAAGUGUGCCAUCAGAUGUGGGACUGCUGGAGCCCGUGGGGCUGGAGCCGGUGCUGACCUUGGCCAGGCUGGUGGGACCCCAGCAGCAGAACUCUGAGCCAAUUCUCUUCCCUGAAGAUGAAGAAGGGCAGCAUGACAAUGGUCUGCACCUCCCACCCACUGCUCAGAUACAUAAUGGGGCUGGGAAGCUUUUCUAAAGAACCACUCUGGUCCUGUAUUGAAAUUCUGUCCAGCUCCCUUGGAAUGAGAUACAAAGGUGGAUAAAGAAAUCUGGAUCACACAGAUAAGCUCCUGAAGUGAAGACCAGGCACAAAAGAGUGAAAAGCAGGAAUGUUAUGGAGAAGAUAUUUGCCUGUCCAUUGAUUGAAUUUCACCUUAAAGUCCUUGAGCAAUAACAAGAACAAACUCCAGGAUGUUACAGCAAAACCUCAUCUCUGCACAUGCUGACUCUGCUUCCAGAAGGAACUAAUUCUUGCAAUAAUUCCAUUUUUUCCUGCUGUCCCCUAAAGGAUGUGAGGAUGCGUGGAGCCCUCGUGCAGCAGGAAUGGAGUGUUCAGCUCGUCCUGGGACACCUCAGCCACCACAGAACCUGGCUGUGCUCACGGGGAGGUGGCACACAGCAGAAAUUCUUGUCCUGCUCAGAAGAUGGGUGGAGCUUGGCCAAGAGCUGCUAUCGAUUGCAGGAGUUGUGAGACCGGCACACUCUGAAUGCAGGUCGUUGUGACCAACAGAGCCCCUAAAAUUUUAUGUACUGUGGUAGGGGCCUGCAGUUUUAAUCCCCUAACGGUGUUCUGCACUGAUCAUUAAUUAGAAUUAUUUAUAUAUAAAUUUGAAAUGUCAUUCUGUGAACUACCUCAAAAUCUAAAUUUUCUAUUUUUAAUCUUUUUAAAAUUUUACCUGCUUUGGAAAAUACAGCACAAGCUUUGAAGGACACUGUAUAGCCCCAGUUAUAACAGAGCAUCCAUGGCACCUAUACAGGAAAAAGGAGAGGACUGUUAAGGCAGACUAUUAUUCCUUUAGAGAUUUGCUUUCCUUAAUUUGCAUAGAACUGUCUUUGAUUAAAAAUUGCCUGUCACAGAAGUAGCUCGGUGAUUUUAUUUUGUAGCAGUCAUCAUUUCUCCUAAUGAGAGUAUAUUUUAUUCAAAGGUAUGUUUUUAUUCAUUCUAAAUGUUCUCUUUAUUUUAUUUAUUGCUUGUAACUGAGUGUAUUCAAUUAGAAAACUGUACAUCCUGCUGUGCUGUAACUGUUGGUAAUUGAGCUGCUCUGCUGCAUUUCUGUGGUGCAGGUCUGCUUGGGCAAGGAAGACGUGUGGGUUCUUCUCUCUGGGAUAAUUUUGUGCAGUUUUGCUCUAGAGAAGCUGAAUUUCAGUCUCAGAGUCCUUGCACUCAAAGGACAGCAUUGCUGUGCAAUGGGCAGAGCUGGGAAUAGAUAUUUUUUCCAGUGUUUGGGUGAGCUUUAACCUUUAUCUAUCAAUUGCUGUCAAUAGCAUUCAGUUAUAACAACAAUUAAAUGAAUAAAUGUAAGGAUGCUCUGGGAGGAGUCAACCAGAACGAACAGAGCUCUGUGAAAUUCAGGAGGUGUGACCCUGCUGGCUCACAGAACUCUGCUCUUCUCCAGGGUUUCUAAUUCUCUUAGUAAAUGGAGGAGAAAUUAGGCAGUUGCAGCAAAGGUCACCUUUUAUUAGCACUUAAUUUUUGGCCCCCAAACUGCCUGCCUGGGUGCCACCUUUCUUUCUUUGUGUGUUGUCUUUGAAUAAAUGGCCAAUUUCUCUUGA